rnacentral:rRNA from 1 species
UACGGAGGAGGCAAGCGUUAUCCGGAAUUAUUGGGCGUAAAGCGUCCGUAGGUGGCUCUUCAAGUCUGCUGUCAAAGAGUGGGGCUUAACCCUGCAAAGGCAGUGGAAACUGAAAGGCUAGAGAGCCGUAGGGGUAGAGGGAAUUCCCGGUGUAGCGGUGAAAUGCGUAGAGAUCGGGAAGAACAUCGGUGGCGAAAGCGCUCUACUGGACGGUAUCUGGCACUGAGGGACGAAAGCUAGGGGAGCGAAUGGG